ACUUUUUUUUGAAUACACCAUACUAUAUUUUUGUAACGCUCAGUCGUACAUGGUACAAUGAAGCUUUAGUUAUUGAAAGUAAUCAUAUGUUCAAGGACAUAGGACCUGGAACCAUUUUGACAGGGAGACUCAUUUUGGGCACCCUACAUGAAAAUUUACUUAAUUUGUUGCACGGUGUGCAACGAAUAGUAUUUGUCUGUAAAUACCCAUGUCUGGCGGGUUUGGCUUUUGCUAUAACUUAGUCAAUUUUCAGCCGAUUUUCAUGAAACUUUGUACACAUGUAGGCACCAUAAGUACUAUUCGUGUACAAAAUUUCAUGAGAAUCGCUCGAAAAUUGACUGAGUUAUAGCAAAAACCAGACCCGUGCAAAAAAAAACAAUCGGGUGUAAUUAAUUACUAUGAAGCUGGCCGAGUUAUAGCUGAAAGUGCAAAAAUAGGUCCUCUGCCCAAAUGGCCCAGUCCCAGUAAUAAUCGUGUAUAAUAAUUGCCAAACUCGCUGCCGAAAAUAGCAUAAGUUCAUCUACUCGAAACAAAAAAUAAAAUGAAUGUCUACUUUCUAUUCUGUGUUUUAGGUCGCCAAAUUGAAAUUCAUCGUACCGUCGGAUGCAUCGUUUGAAAUGAUCAAAAGCGAUUGGGUAAAAACAUUCGAAACCCGAAACGUUUUGCGAAAAUCGACACCGGAUGAUAUCGUACAGGCGAUUCUAGAGACGUUUACACUAUCUACUGCGUUUGAUGGUUGUUUGAUUGAAAUGGAUUUUGCUGCUAUGUUCCCUGAGCAGACAUGUCCCAUGGAAAAAUGGAAUGCGAUGGAGGAAACAAUUCUCGAGAAAUUCAAACAUCUUUACCCAACCGUUGGCAAUAAGUUCAUCCGGUCGCUGCUCGUAAUCAAGGACAGAAAUCCCUCACGAGGCGCAAAACGGGCAAUCAAAGGUCCACAAAAAAUCUCGAACAUGCUUGAAAGAAUCGUCGAGUGGAUAAAUGUAUGUAUAAUUUAGGUUUAUUUAGUUUUUGUUUGUUCGCAGAACAACAAUUUAUUUUAUAGUUUGUUCCACAGGCAAACAAAUGUAACACUCUUCUUUUUUAUUGUUUGUAUUUGCGAAACUUGAUUAGAAAUAACCGAUAGAGUUUUCGUGAUGAUGAUUUUUCGCAAUUUGUUCUGAGCUUACAUCUGUUUGUCUGUGAUUUAUAUUGCGCAUUUCCCACCUCACCGGCCCCUUUCGUAGUUAUUAUAAGUGCGGAAUCGUGGAUAAAACUGUACAUUCGCAUUGAAUCGUGAUGGAGUCUUCUGCGCACUUAUGCAUUAUAAGUUUUGUAUUAUAACUUAUACAAACUGGACAGGAUCCAGUGGGGUGGGAUAUGCACAAUAUAAUAAGCGGAAUAUAGUUAGCACCCUACAUUAUCAUCAUGAAUUUUCAGCUAUUCAAUACAAAUUGUUAGUAAGUUCAACACUAUUGAUGAAAUAAAAAAAAACUGGGGUGUUUUGGGUUGGCCAAACUUCAUACUUCAACCCGUACUAAAACAAAAAUCAUCGUUGUAGGGUGGGGCGGGGCAAGAUGGGUCACCUAAGGAUGGAUCACCAUAACUUUGUAAAUACAAGUCGUAUUGGUUUGUAUUCAUCUGCUUCUCUUUAAUACACUAGCUAGCUAUGCUAAAAGUCGGUUAAAAGUUCAUUAAAUACAAAAUAUGAUGUUAAACAAGCAGUUUUCAAAAGUGAUCGAUUUUGCGCCUUGAAAAAAAGUGCGGGACAAGAUGGGUCACGUUGUAAGUAAUACACAUUUUCUCAACGAAAAACGUCAAAAUAUAAUAUUUGUUCCACAUUCAUAUUCUCCAUAUCCAUAGUGAGUGAACAAGUACUAGUAGUAAACAUUUUAUAAAUUUAUUUGGAAUAUAAAAAAACUUUAAGAUUUGAGUGGUCCUAAGGCGACUUGAAAAUCGAUGUUUUCAUUAAAAAUUAUCAUAAUUUUAUGUUCUAAUUUUGAGCGUUCAUUCCGCUUGAUUGAAGUCAUUUGUGAGAUAGUCUCGUACUAAAAAAAAUAACUUUUUAAUGCUCCAAAAAUACGUUCAAAAUUGAAGGUGACCCAUCUUGUCCCGCGGCCGUUUAUAUGGAGAUUAUAUAGAAUAUAUCGCAUAAGAAAAAUGGCUAAAAACCAUUUUAUUGUUUAUUUCCAAUGAGAGAGAAUAAUUUUUCAAUCAAUGCCCCAAACUUUUGUAUAAGGUACACCGGGGCAAGUUGAAACGGGUGGGGCAAGAUGAAACAGCGGGUGAACAUGAUGUUUUCAAAUGAUAAUAAACAAUUUGAUUGCACAUAGUUUUUGAUUCAAACAAUCUUUUAACGAAGGGUAAAUUUCCAAAUUAUAUUGAAAUCUAUUUCAAAACUU